UACGUAGGUGACCAGCGUUGUCCGGAUUUACUGGGCGUAAAGCGCGCGCAGGCGGUCGUUCAAGUCGGGUGUGAAAGCCCCCGGCUCAACUGGGGAGGGUCAUUCGAUACUGAUCGACUGGAAGGCAGGAGAGGGAAGCGGAAUUCCCGGUGUAGUGGUGAAAUGCGUAGAUAUCGGGAGGAACACCAGUGGCGAAGGCGGCUUCCUGGCCUGUUCUUGACGCUGAGGCGCGAAAGCUAGGGGAGCAAACGGG
rnacentral:rRNA from 1 species